AAAGUCCGGGCUUCACAGGGCAGGAUGCCGGAUAACGUCCGGUGGAGGUGACUCCAAGGAAAGUGCAACAGAAAUGAACCGCCAGCUUCUGGCUGGUAAGGGUGGAAGGGCAGUGUAAGAGACUACCGCCUUCCUGGUAACAGGGAGGGCACAUGUAAACCCCAUUCGAAGCAAGACCGAAUAAAAGCAUAUGGCGGCCCGUCAGCUUUAGGUAGGUUGCUAGAGCCUGCUGGCGACAGCAGGCCUGGAUAGAUGACCAUUCACGACAUAACCCGGCUUAUCGUCCUGCUUA
rnacentral:RNase_P_RNA from 1 species